rnacentral:lncRNA from 1 species
GCUUGCAGUCUGCCCACUAAUGGUUUGCGAACUGAAACGCCCCAGGAAAGCCUGGCCAUGAAAGACGCACAGCGCAGGGCUGAGGCCAGCUCUGGGGCUGACCCUGCAAGCUCUCUUCCAGCUUGCAGGGGGGAAGGUCCUCAUGGAAACUCUCAGAGCUUAGUUCUUUCAGUCAGUGAAGACUCCAAGGCUUACAUUUAUAUUGUGGAAACCAAGAACUUAUCCCCAAGACCCCAAGACUGGAGCUAA